GUCCUCUAUUGGGUUCCAGGACCCAGGGCAGUCUCUAGUCCCCGGGGGUUGAUCAAGAGGAGAGAGGAGAGGCUGGGCUCCCCUGGCAGGCUGGGGAGAGACAAGCCGCGCUAGAACAGUAAAGCCCAAAUGACCCAAGGAAGCGAUGACUGACUUAUGACAAAGGCAGCCUUCAUUGCACCUGCAAGAUGGAUUUAAGCUCCCAGCAUGUCGAGGGAUGUCAGUGUACUUUGGGGACUUGAUGGAUUUCUGGAACAUCGUAAGAAGUCAAAACAGAGUCAAAACUGAGAGCAGUGGCAAC
rnacentral:lncRNA from 1 species